GUCUACAGCCAUGUCUCCCUGAGCAAGCCCGAUCCCGUCUGAUCUCGGAAGCUAAGCAGGGUAGGCCCUCGAUAGUACUUGGAUGGGAGACCACCUAGGAAAACCGGGUGCUGUAGGCA
rnacentral:rRNA from 1 species